rnacentral:rRNA from 1 species
UGGGGAAUAUUGCACAAUGGGCGAAAGCCUGAUGCAGCGACGCCGCGUGAGGGAUGACGGCCUUCGGGUUGUAAACCUCUUUCAGCAGGGAAGAAGCGAAAGUGACGGUACCUGCAGAAGAAGCGCCGGCUAACUACGUGCCAGCAGCCGCGGUAAUACGUAGGGCGCAAGCGUUGUCCGGAAUUAUUGGGCGUAAAGAGCUCGUAGGCGGUUAGUCGCGUCUGCUGUGAAAACUCGAGGCUCAACCUCGGGCUUGCAGUGGGUACGGGCUGACUAGAGUGCGGUAGGGGUGACUGGAAUUCCUGGUGUAGCGGUGGAAUGCGCAGAUAUCAGGAGGAACACCGAUGGCGAAGGCAGGUCACUGGGCCGCAACUGGCGCUGAGGAGCGAAAGCAUGGGGAGCGAACAGGAUUAGAUACCCUGGUAGUCCAUGCCGUAAAACGUUGGGCACUAGGUGUGGGGUCCAUUCCACGGAUUCCGUGCCGCAGCAAACGCAUUAAGUGCCCCGCCUGGGGGAGUACGGCCGCAAGGCUAAAAC